rnacentral:rRNA from 1 species
AUUGAACGCUGGCGGCAGGCUUAACACAUGCAAGUCGAGCGAGCGGCGGACGGGUGAGUAAUGUCUGGGAAACUGCCUGAUGGAGGGGGAUAACUACUGGAAACGGUAGCUAAUACCGCAUACAAUCAGAUGUGCCCAGAUGGGAUUAGCUAGUGGGUGGGGUAAUGGCUCACCUAGGCGACGAUCCCUAGCUGGUCUGAGAGGAUGACCAGCCACCCGUGACCUGAGGCACGGUCCAGGCUCCUACGGUAGGCAGCAGUGGGGAAUACUGCCCCAUGGUCGCAAGCCUGAUGCAGCCAUGCCGCAUGUGUGAAUACGGCCUUCGGGUUGUAGAGCACUUUCAGCGAGGAGGCGUUACUCGCAGAAGAAGCACCGGCUAACUCCGUGCCAGCAGCCGCGGUAAUAC